rnacentral:snoRNA from 1 species
AUUCCAUGAUGAGGGCACUUUCGUAGUAAUUCUUUGUACCUUUCUCAUGCCUCAUAUAAGACUCGUGAUCUAUUUGUUGGAAAAUAUUAAUUUCAUUCCGCAAGCAU